GCUCCCGUAGGCUAACUGGAUAAACCGCUGGCCUCCGAAGCCGGAAUUUCGCGUUCGAAUCGCGACGGGAGCA
rnacentral:tRNA from 1 species